rnacentral:rRNA from 1 species
AACUAACGCUGGCGGCGUGGCUUAGGCAUGCAAGUCGAACGGCAAAGGUCGCAAGACCGAGUAAGUGGCGAAAGGGUGAGUAGUACUCGGGCAAUCUGCCCCUGGGACUGGGAUAGCCUCGGGAAACUGAGGGUAAUACCAGACGGGCUCACGAGAGCUGAGGCUUUCGCGAGUAAACGGAGGGGAUCCGCAAGGACCUUCCGCCCAGUGAGGAGCUCGAGCCCUAUCAGGUAGUUGGCGGGGUAACGGCCCACCAAGCCUACGACGGGUAUCCGGACUGAGAGGUUGGCCGGACACACUGGCACUGAGACACUGGCCAGACUCCUACGGGAGGCAG